rnacentral:rRNA from 1 species
CUGACUGCUAUCGGAUUGAUACUAAGCCAUGCGAGUCAUUGUAGCAAUACAAGGCAGACGGCUCAGUAACGCGUAGUCAACCUAACCUAUGGACGGGAAUAACCUCGGGAAACUGAGAAUAAUGCCCGAUAGAACACUAUACCUGGAAUGGUUUGUGUUCCAAAUGAUUUAUCGCCGUAGGAUGGGACUGCGGCCUAUCAGUUUGUUGGUGAGGUAAUGGCCCACCAAGACUAUUACAGGUACGGGCUCUGAGAGGAGUAGCCCGGAGAUGGGUACUGAGACACGGACCCAGGCCCUAUGGGGCGCAGCAGGCGAGAAAACUUUGCAAUGUGCGAAAGCACGACAAGGUUAAUCCGAGUGGUUUGUGCUAAACGAACCUUUUGUCGGUCCUAGAAACACCGAUGAAUAAGGGGUGGGCAAGUUCUGGUGUCAGCCGCCGCGGUAAAACCAGCACCUCAAGUGGUCAGGAUGAUUAUUGGGCCUAAAGCAUCCGUAGCCGGCGCUGUAAGUUUUCGGUUAAAUCUGUACGCUCAACGUACAGGCUGCCGGGAAUACUGCAGCGCUAGGGAGUGGGAGAGGUAGACGGUACUCGGUAGGAAGGGGUAAAAUCCUUUGAUCUAUUGAUGACCACCUGUGGCGAAGGCGGUCUACCAGAACACGUCCGACGGUGAGGGAUGAAAGCUGGGGGAGCAAACCGGAUUAGAUACCCGGGUAGUCCCAGCUGUAGACUAUGCAAACUCAGUGAUGCAUUGACUUGUGGUCAAUGCAGUGCUGCA